GCCGCGGUAGCUCAGUCGGCAGAGCGCCCGGCUGUUAACCGGGCGGUCGACGGUUCGAGUCCGUCCCGCGGCG
rnacentral:tRNA from 1 species